rnacentral:lncRNA from 1 species
AAUACGUCACAAUGGCAAGAUUCAUUGGCUUACUCUGCCACCACUAAAAUCUAUCCUUAUUUUCAGCUGAAUGCCUUGCUAUGCUGAUCGUUCACAUCCCUUUGCUCCAAGUUUCCUUGGACAACAUACUUGAUUCUGUUGUUUAAAAGUUGUCUGCUAUUGGACUUAAUGUUCAGCACCCCCUCUAGUGAGAUGACUUCUUACUGUUAGAGACCACCCACCUUCCUUCCCAUGCAAGUGUCCAAGCUGGAAGAAUUAGACAGUUGACUCUAGACCCUGGAUAUCUGUGUAUCCGAAUUGUACUUCAAGGUGUCAACAUAGAGAAAAAGAGGAGAGAAGUUAAUAGAAUUGUCUUGAUGAUUUAGGUCAAGACUAAUGACAAAAUUUUUAUGGUGAUGGCACUGUGCCAGAUGCCUGAUAUAUGGACAUUUUUAAAAGAGAAGUAUGGUCUAGUACAAGGUCAACAAACUUUUUCUGCCCAGGACCAGAUUUUGCAAAUCAAGAGAGUGUUUCAUGGUGAUCCUGGGACAAUAGCAUUGGACAUCACUUGA